CGCAACCGACAGCCUCAGGUAUAGUUAGUCGUCUCGUGGCCGAGUGCGCGAACGGACGUUCAGAUCCGCUGCCGGGAGGUGCGCCGGUGAAGUUGCUGGACCACGCGCGUGAACUGUGCAAGUGUGAACUAACAGGAGUGAGUGAGUGCUUCGGAGUACAUCAGCUUCCUGUUACAAUGACCGUCUCCAUGCAGAGAAACAUGCCGACCACGAUGGCGUCCUGAGAUGACGGCCGCACAGUUGGCACUCCUGCUCGCGCUGUUGCUGCCGCUCAGCCGAUUGCAAGAACCGGAGGGCGCGGCAGCUGCGGCGGCGGCGGUGGGCGGUGCCGUCGCGGCGAGUCCCCCAGCCGUG